GAUGAACGCUGGCGUCGUGCCUAAUACAUGCAAGUCGAGCGAACAGACGAGGAGCUUGCUCCUCUGACGUUAGCGGCGGACGGGUGAGUAACACGUGUGUAACCUACCUAUAAGACUGUGAUAACUUCGUGAAACCGGAGCUAGUACCGUAGAAGAUAUUGAACCUCAUGGUUCAAGAUUGGAAGGCGGGUGUGCGAGCACUGAUAGAUAGAUCCGGGCCGCAUUAGCUAGUGGGUAAGGUAACGGCUUACCAAGGCAACGAGGAGAAGCCCAACUGAGAGGGUGAUCGGCAACACUGGACAUGAGAGAUGGUCCAGACUUCUACGGGCGGCAGCAGUAGGGAAUCUUCCGGAAUGGGCGAAAGCCUGCCGGAGCAACGCGCCGUGAGUGAUGAAGGUCUUCGGAUCGUAAAACUCUGUUAUUAGGGAAGAACAAAUGUGUAAGUAACUAUGCACGUAUUGACGGUACCUAAUCAGAAAGCCACGGCUAACUACGUG
rnacentral:rRNA from 1 species